rnacentral:tRNA from 1 species
GCCUUGCUAGCUCAAUCGGUAGAGCGUGAGACUCUUAAUCUCAAGGUUGCGGGUUCGACCCCCGCGUGANUUC